UGUGGGUUUUUCAUAAAUGGCCUUUAUUAUUUCGAGGUGUGUUUUCUCUAAACCUACUUUGUUGAGGGUUUUUAUCAUGAGUGGAUGUUGUUACCUUGUCAGGUGAUUUUCUGCACUUGUUGAAAUGAUCAUGUGGUUUUUCUUGUUGACGUGAAGCAUCACAUUGAUUGAUUUGUGAAUUUUGAGCCACUCUUGCAUCAGGAGGGAGUUGUGCUUUAGCAGUUAGUAUGGAAAACCUCUCCCAAAGGGUGAUAUUUAAGCUAAAACCUAAAACGUGAGCCAGCUGGAAAAGGAAGAGGAGAUAUAGGAGUAUUUCAGACAUAGGUAACAACAGGUACAAAGGAGCUGGGCAGGAAAAAUUUCGAUGAAAUAUAGAAACUGGACCAUGUGAAGAAAAUCAAAAAACGUGAGUGACUAAUGGAAGGGUGAUGUCUGAAACGUAAAUGCUUUACUCCAUCUUCUAAAGGUACUGAAUUUGGCACUGAGAAAAAUGCAAGUAUUAACUGAAGAAGCCAAAGAGUUGCUUGGAUGCAAAAAUAAUUAUUUCUUUUCUUUUAACUUUUUUUUAAUGUUUAUUCAUUUUUGAGAGAGAGAGAGAGAGACAGCCUGAGUGAGGGAGGGGCAGAGAAAGAGGGGGACGCAGAAUCUGAAGCAGGCUCCAGGCUCUGAGCUGUCAACCAGAGGCCCAAUGUGGGGCUCAAACUCACGAACCGUGAGAUCAUGACCUGAGCUGAAGUCGGACACUUAACUGACAGCUACCCAGGUACCCUAAAAAAUAAUUAUUUCUAUUCCUGUCUUCUGGUCACUUUAGAGUUUCCUAGAGGCUGAGUAUGAUGGUACUCUCACAAACCUUAGAUCUACCAGCUGAAGGUGACUUCAGGGAUUUUCAAACAUCUUUUAUACCAAAAUCCAAAAUGAAGGUUUUGCAGAGGGAAAGGAGGAGAGAGAGACUUGGUGCUGUGUUUCCCCCGUGACAGGAGGGAUUUUAUCAAGAAAUAGAAGAUGGAUACGGCAUUGUCGUGUCCUGGGUACUGCAGUUCCCUUUGACGAAAGGACUUCCAAUGAAGUCCAAAACAGAAGAGGAAGGAAAGAAGAAAACCAAGGACUGAUCCCUGGGAUGCUCCAAAAUUAAUAGGUCUUGGAGAAGAGAGAGUGCUAGCAUGAAGACUGAGAAGGAAUAACCAGUGAGCCAGGAAGCAAAUGGAAAAGAGUAUGGUGUCCUGGAAGCCAUGUGAAGAAAAUAUAUUGAGGAAGAGGGAGUCAUCAGCCAUGCCACUGGAUUUACAGGCAGCUAAUGAAGUAAACCAACCCAGGGACUUCCUCUAGACUGGGAGGUGCUAACCAAGGGAGUUCAACAGAAAGCAUGCCUGGGGUGAGUGGCUUGGCCUAGCUUUUAGUCUGUCCACAUCAGAGGACACAGUAUGGUGCCUCCCAGUCCUCAUAUGGCCCCCAGACCUUUUUGUUGUUGUUCUAAUAAAAUUUAAAAUCAUUUCCA